GCGAGGCUCAUUUGAACGAUUUGUAUUUCAAUAACACAGGAUGAACUUCAAUACCGCUAAUCGACCAUCAAUUGUGCGAUUAGGUAUGUUCAAUAACAACACGUCAUUAUAUAUUCCGCCAAGUGAAAAUCAGUGGCGCGAAACAAAUUUCAAUAGCAUUUAUUGGUAAUCAUUAACGUUUUUAAAACUUCAAUAGAAUUAAAUCAAAAGACAUUUAAUAGCAACAAAUAUUCAUUAAUAUAAAGUCAGAGACGUGACGUUCUAACAAAUAUUUUGAAUGUUUUUAUGUUCACACAACAACAAAGAAUGUCAUAGUUUUUAGCCCUGGAUAUGUUCCCUUGCAAGACAUCUUGGUAAGUAUGUCUGUAUACGUCUGCACCAAGCGGUACAUUUUUGCAACUUGAUCGAGGGCAUAUUCCUUUCCCAGCCGCUAUCAAUAUUUGUUUUCAAAAUUCACCAAAUGGUAGCUGUGCAUUUCUUGUGGCUUGCCUGUCAUUCAUUCGAUAUUAAAUCUGAGCACGAGAAAUUUCUGCCUUAUUGUUUGCCUUAAGACAGCCGAAUGCUUUUUCUACAGGAUUCAAGAAUGGGCUUAUACGAGUUAGAAUCUUUGUCUGGAUAUCCCUAGCUGGGUCUUGUGCUCUCCUAUGCGAUGUCGUUCCGUCAAAAAUUGGGAAAUGAGUUUCGUUGUCAUUCCAUAGUGCCGUAUUUACGAGGAAUUCGUCGAACAAUUCACGUGUCAUACCUUCCAUUUGAAUUAGGACGCUGUACGACACUAAUGUAUGGUUAUAUUUCUCCCUUUCUAUCCGCAUACUUGACGGCAGGCUCUAUCUCCUCAACGUGAAUAACCUGCGAUCAGGCUUAUAAAUAAAUAAAUAGGCCUGGCCUGA